rnacentral:rRNA from 1 species
GACGAACGCUGGCGGCGUGCCUAAUACAUGCAAGUCGAACGAGAGCGCCCGGUGCUUGCGCUGGUCAAUCUAGUGGCGAACGGGUGAGUAACACGUGGGUAACCUGCCCAUCAGAGGGGGAUAACAUUCGGAAACGGAUGCUAAAACCGCAUAGGUCUUCGAACCGCAUGGUUUGAAGAGGAAAAGAGGCGCAAGCUUCUGCUGAUGGAUGGACCCGCGGUGCAUUAGCUAGUUGGUGAGGUAACGGCUCACCAAGGCCGUGAUGCAUAGCCGACCGGAGAGGGGGAUCGGCGACCUUGGGACUGGGCCACGGCCCAAACGCCUACGGGAGGCCGCAGUAGGGAAUCUUCCGCAAUGGACGCAAGUCUGACGGAGCAACGCCGCGUGAGUGAAGAAGGUGUUCGGAUCGUAAAACUCUGUUGUUAGAGAAGAACAAGUGCUAGAUUAACUGUUAGCGCCGUGACGGUAUCUAACCAGAAAGCCACGGCUAACUACGUG